rnacentral:misc_RNA from 1 species
GUGAAUCAUCGAAUCUUUGAACGCAAAUUGCACUCUUUGGUAUUCCGGAGAGUAUGCCUGUUUGAGGGUCAGCUUAAAUAAUAAUCGGUGUGGUUGCUGCCUUUCGUGGUGACGCACCGGAUUUGGGUCGUCUUGCCUUCGGUUAAGUGCACUACAAUUUUGCAUGAUUUUUUUCGAACGUAUUUAAAUGUUCUUACGUACUUUUGCGAUAUCGACUCGUAGGUG